UGACAUGAUCUACUUCCAGGUCAGU
rnacentral:piRNA from 1 species